CAGUUCAAAUCCAUCUUUCGAGGAAUGCAGUAUAAAAACGUGGUUAAGGGUGUGGACAAACCCAUACUCAUUCCAGCCGCUCUCAACUAGUCCCUCUGUAACUCGUCUUCUCUUCGUCUUUGUUUCGCCCCAGAAUACCAUCCUCACCACCUUUACUCAAAACAUGAGAGAAAAGACCAUAGCCAAGCCCCUGCCUUAAAAAAUCUGUGGCGUCCAUGUUCUUAUGGGGCCAUUUCCUUCAUACCUCUCUCGCUCGGUUCCGGUCUAUGUCUUUGGGUUCAAUGAGAUGGAAAAGAAGGGAGUGGGACUGGAUGUAAUCAGGUUUGAUAUGAAUACGAUUGUUCAAUUCACCUUGGAUGAUGUUUUGGAUAAAAAUUGGGGAGAAAGAAGCAAAAUCUCGGCAUCGAGAAUGGAGGGAGGCUCGGGCAUCGUUGCUGCUGCAACAGGCCGCAGUUGCCUACAUUGGCCUUCUCUCCAUCUCGGUUCAUGCUGGAUUCCGCCUUGUUGGAGCCAACGACUGCGCUUUCCGUCGCCAGCGUCCUCAUUGCAGGUGAGGGCUUGGCAAUCCAGUAGGACACACUAGAGCUGGCCACUCGCCAGGUGGAAAUCCAUACUGCGUGGCGGAAGAAACAGGAGAGGAAGAGGAAAUGCUGAAGAAGAGGGAGCUGAGGGAAGCAAAUCUGGAAUGCAUGGCUCAUCACUUUCUGAUGCUGCAGCACAGCUUGGUGGCCUACAUUGGGCUCCUUUCAAUCUCUGAGCCUUCGGACGAAAAGGUAUGCGUCAAGGACUGAAGGAGGAGGACUUUUGAUUGCCUUUCAUCUGUGUCCGAUAUUGCUUGAUAAAUCCAGAAAUUCAACACUACAAUUCUUGUUUUAUUAGGUAUGCGUCAAGGACUGAAGGAGGAGGACUUUUGAUUGCCUUUCAUCUGUGUCCGAUAUUGCUUGAUAAAUCCAGAAAUUCAACACUACAAUUCUUGUUUUAUUAGGUAUGCGUCAAGGACUGAAGGAGGAGACUUUUGAUAGCUACCGGAGGAGAAAGUCAUGUGGAAUGCCUAAUAUCCAGUGUUUCUAGGUUAUUAAGUUUUCCUAUGUCUUCUGGGAGCUAUUUCUUUUCUCUCCUGCUCAAAUUUAAGUACUUCAAGUUAUAGCACUCGGUUAUGUCACGUGGCAAUUGAAAAUUGGGACACAUUCAAGAUCUAAGACCCUCAAUAGUUUCAAUCCAUUUUUCAAUUUUUGCAAUGCAGAAGAAUUAAUGGCAUCGUUUUGAUAGAAAACAAAGAAUGUGCGAACCUUUGACAUGUGGUUGUGCAUUGGUAAUACUUCAUGAUUUGCUUGUA